rnacentral:rRNA from 1 species
UACGUAGGGUGCGAGCGUUAAUCGGAAUUACUGGGCGUAAAGUGUGCGCAGGCGGCCGCGCAAGUCGAGUGUGAAAGCCCCGAGCUUAACUUGGGAAUUGCGCUCGAAACUACGUGGCUGGAGUGUGGCAGAGGAAGGUGGAAUUCCACGUGUAGCGGUGAAAUGCGUAGAGAUCAUGAGGAAGACCAGUGGCGAAGGCGGGUCUCUGGACAGUUCCUGACACUGGAGACACGAAGGCCAGGGGAGCAAACGGG